AUUUCUCAACCUCACCAACUUUUUUGUUGUGUGAAGGCUUGGAUGUGGGGGUUUGCAGGUCCGCUCUCGAGCGGUCUGCUCCUCUGAAAUGUAUUAGUGGGUUUAGUCCCCUAAUCUAUUGGUGUGAUAAUUAUCUACGCCGUGGAUUGGGAAGGCUGUUAAUGAACUCGCUUCUAACCGUCCUCACGGACAACAUUUGACAA
rnacentral:misc_RNA from 1 species